UGAACGCUAGCGGCAGGCCUAACACAUGCAAGUCGAGGGGUAACAGGGGAGUUCGCUUCCGCUGACGACCGGCGCACGGGUGAGUAUCGCGUUUGUAACCUACCUUUAACUGGAAGAUAGCCCGAAGAAAUUCGGAUUAAUAUUCCAUAAUACUAUAGUUUGGCAUCAUUUUAUAGUUAAAGCUCCGGCGGUUAAAGAUGGGCAUGCGUAACAUUAGCUAGUUGGUGAGGUAAGAGCUCACAAAGGCUACGAUGUUUAGGGGGUCUGAGAGGAUGGUCCCCCACACUGGUACUGAGACACGGACCAGACUCCUACGGGAGGCAGCAGUGAGGAAUAUUGGUCAAUGGGCGAAAGCCUGAACCAGCCAUGCCGCGUGAAGGAUGACGGCCCUACGGGUUGUAAACUUCUUUUAUACGAGAAGAAACCACUCUACGUGUAGAGUGCUGACGGUAUCGUAUGAAUAAGCAUCGGCUAACUCC
rnacentral:rRNA from 1 species